rnacentral:rRNA from 1 species
UACAGAGGAGCCAAGCGUUGUCCGGAUUGACUGGGCGUAAAGCGCACGUAGGUGGCGACGUAAGUCGGGUGUGAAAGCCCCGGGCUCAACCUGGGAAUUGCAUUCGAGACUGCAUUGCUGGAGUACGGAAGAGGAAGGCGGAAUUCCCGGUGUAGCGGUGAAAUGCGUAGAUAUCGGGAGGAACAUCAGUGGCGAAGGCGGCCUUCUGGUCCAGUACUGACACUCAAGUGCGAAAGCGUGGGGAGCAAACAGG